rnacentral:lncRNA from 1 species
ACAUAAGAUCUGCCCCCUACCCAGCCUAGUCCAGCUUACCCUGGGGAGAGAGAGUUUGAACCAUAUAUGAGAUGGGAAACCAGACCAGAUUGUUUUAAUAAACACAAGUGACGACUUAUGAGUUAUGACAGAGAAUCAAAUAUUGUUAAGGGGACUGGGUCCCUAGAGGGAAAGGAGAGCCAGUGACAGGAACACACAGCUGGUAGCAGCCAUUUGCAAGAUAAAACUGCUCCAUGUUUCUGCCUCAACAAAUUGAAUGUCUUCAAUCAAACUGGUUGAAUAUCUGGGACAGCCACGAGAACAAAGUAGGAAGGAGCAGAGCGAACUGAGAAGAGAACACACAGCCAGGAGAUGCACAGAAAGGAGAUACAUUUCCUUUGCCUGAGUCACCAGAAGAGUCUUUAGAGCCACGGUGGAAACCAAGGAAAUAUUUGGAGGCAACAGAAUGAAUGACAAUCCAGGCACAAGGCUGAGAAGCAAAAUUUAAGAUGCAGAGAGUUUGAGAUUGGGGCACCAGUGGAAGAGGGAGAACAGAAAUGAGGUAUUUACAGAGGAGAGAAGUCUGUCAGUAAACUGGGAACUGGGCAACUUUGGGGACUGCAUCCAGAGUGGAGAACCAAGACUCUGCCCAAUAAAGAGGGAGGAAGACAAAUGGGCUCAAGGAGCUACUUUGGAUUCUCUGUUGGUGGUAGAUUUUGUGUGGAACAUUUUAUAGAUGUCACAGGGGACAUGAUUGACAGAAAGAUGCAACAGACACUGUACAGGAACAUAAAGCUUCUUAAUGAUAAAAUAAGGGAUGA